GAUGAACGCUGGCGGCGUGCCUAAUACAUGCAAGUCGAGCGAACAGACGAGGAGCUUGCUCCUCUGACGUUAGCGGCGGACGGGUGAGUAACACGUGGAUAACCUACCUAUAAGACUGGGAUAACUUCGGGAAACCGGAGCUAAUACCGGAUAAUAUAUUGAACCGCAUGGUUCAAUAGUGAAAGACGGUUUUGCUGUCACUUAUAGAUGGAUCCGCGCCGCAUUAGCUAGUUGGUAAGGUAACGGCUUACCAAGGCAACGAUGCGUAGCCGACCUGAGAGGGUGAUCGGCCACCCUGGAACUGAGACACGGUCCAGACUCCUACGGGAGGCAGCAGUAGGGAAUCUUCCGCAAUGGGCGAAAGCUUGACGGAGCAACGCCGAGUGAGUGAUGAAGGUCUUCGGAUCGUAAAACUCUGUUAUUAGGGAAGAACAAAUGUGUAAGUAACUAUGCACGUCUUGACGGUACCUAAUCAGAAAGCCACGGCUAACUACGUG
rnacentral:rRNA from 1 species